rnacentral:misc_RNA from 1 species
GAAGCUUUCCAAAGCAUAAGGCAACAGAAGAAUGGCGAAGAAAAAGAAUCGCCAUCAUUUUGAUGCUGAUGCUGGGUCAUAUACAAGGAAAAUUGGGUUGACCAAGGCGUAUGUGAAACUGAAGGAGACCAUAAGCUAACCCCACUCUUGAAGAAAUGCAUUUCCACUUGUCUAAUAGGGCUGUUUCUCUCAUUUCUGUGUAACAAAAAAGCUAAGCCACUUUGUUAAAAGGGAGCAUUACCA